rnacentral:rRNA from 1 species
AGUGAACGCUGGCGGUAGGCCUAACACAUGCAAGUCGAACGGCAGCACAGUAAGAGCUUGCUCUUACGGGUGGCGAGUGGCGGACGGGUGAGGAAUACAUCGGAAUCUACUUUUUCGUGGGGGAUAACGUAGGGAAACUUACGCUAAUACCGCAUACGACCUACGGGUGAAAGCAGGGGAUCUUCGGACCUUGCGCGAUUGAAUGAGCCGAUGUCGGAUUAGCUAGUUGGCAGGGUAAAGGCCCACCAAGGCGACGAUCCGUAGCUGGUCUGAGAGGAUGAUCGGCCACACUGGAACUGAGACACGGUCCAGACUCCUACGGGAGGCAGCAGUGGGGAAUAUUGGACAAUGGGCGCAAGCCUGAUCCAGCCAUACCGCGUGGGUGAAGGAGGCCUUCGGGUUGUAAAGCCCUUUUGUUGGGAAAGAAAAGCAGCAGGUUAAUACCCCGCUGUUCUGACGGUACCCAAAGAAUAAGCACCGGCUAACUUCGUG